rnacentral:lncRNA from 1 species
AUCAACAUCGCUAAAUUGAAAACAUGGGUGAUCACUAUCAAGGAUUCCGAAGGUUUCAUUAGUAUUUCUAGGUUGGCUACUACUUUGAACUUGUUUAUUUUCUAGGUCGGGGAGCCGGGGGAGGAGUAGUAUUUUGGCGACUACUUUCACCGGUCUUAGAUUUUCCUUUUCCGAACAUAUUUUUCAAUGAAAAUGCCAUAAUAAUUACAAUUAAG